GAUGAACGCUGGCGGCGUGCCUAAUACAUGCAAGUCGAGCGAACGGACGAGAAGCUUGCUUCUCUGAUGUUAGCGGCGGACGGGUGAGUAACACGUGGAUAACCUACCUAUAAGACUGGGAUAACUUCGGGAAACCGGAGCUAAUACCGGAUGAUAUUUUGAACCGCAUGGUUCAAAAGUGAAAGACGGUCUUGCUGUCACUUAUGGAUGGAUCCGCGCUGCAUUAGCUAGUUGGUAAGGUAACGGCUUACCAAGGCAACGAUGCAUAGCCGACCUGAGAGGGUGAUCGGCCACACUGGAACUGAGACACGGUCCAGACUCCUACGGGAGGCAGCAGUAGGGAAUCUUCCGCAAUGGGCGAAAGCCUGACGGAGCAACGCCGCGUGAGUGAUGAAGGUCUUCGGAUCGUAAAACUCUGCUAUUAGGGAAGAACAUAUGUGUAAGUAACUGUGCACAUCUUGACGGUACCUAAUCAGAAAGCCACGGCUAACUACGUG
rnacentral:rRNA from 1 species